rnacentral:miRNA from 14 species
GGAUGUCCAGUUAAAUUUGGAUUUCAGAUAAAUAAUGAGUAAUUUUUAACACAAGUAUGUCCCAUGCAAUAUUUGGGACAUACUUAUACUAAAAAUUAUGUAUAUAAUAGUGUUUUCUGUUUUAUCUGG